rnacentral:sRNA from 1 species
UAAUGAGGGCAUAGAAAAGGAGUUAUGAGCUGGUACUCAUAACUCCUGUGUAGAACCGUUAAAGACGGUGGCUGCGUUUUAGAACUUAAAA